rnacentral:lncRNA from 1 species
UGUGGCAUGAUAACGGCCACCAGGCAAUCAAUUAGCUUAGUCCAAAAUAAAAACAGAAAAAACAGCAAUGACAACAAAAACAAACUCUUUAUGGCAGCAGAAGCUAUGAUGAUGCCACAUAUUAACAAUAAAGAUAAAAUCAAUUGGCACAGAAAUGAACAUACAAUUUUAGUUCCAAUAUCUCCAGAUAAGCAAUUAAUCGAAAAUAUAAUAGAUACUCUUACAUAAGGAAGAGAGCAAAAAUAGAAAGCUUGAGUCUAAAAACAAUCCCACAUUCCCUGGUCAUAUUAUCCACACUUGAACCCUAAGCCCCAAAACAAUCCCAUGUUUUGCUGCUCCUGUAGGCAUCUCUCAUCCCUGUCUCUGUUUCUCUCUCUCUCUCUCUCUCUCACACACACACACACACACACACACACACACACAUACAUUUCAACAUUCCUAGCAUAGCCUAUACAUACACAUUUCCAGUUCAUGAGUGUGCUGCCCUGUGUCCAAAUAUGUGCUCCUAACAUAUUCCUUAUUCAACAAGGAAACAUAUUUUCAUAAGGAAAAAUUAGAUAAGAAUUCUUCUUUACAAUAUUCUCAAACAAAAGGAAGAACUUUAGGAAAUUGUGACACUUUCCAACCACUCCUGUGACUGCAAAAGCAUUUAUUUAGUAUAUCUUCAUGAAACAGCUUUAGGUUUAGUGCAUGAUAUGAGAUUCUGUAAUUAUGUCCAUUUGAGUGUAAGAAAAAC